rnacentral:rRNA from 1 species
AUGGGGUGUGCUAAGGCGAUCGACGAGGCGAAGCUGCAAGACUUGUUGUCCUUAAAAGAUGAUGUGGGAAUCAUGCAGAAAGACCAGUCGCAGAUGCAAGCGGACAUGGCCAAAUUGCACGAUGAGGUGCACUCCAUCAGCUCCAAGCAAGGGGAGAUUGCAACACAGGUGGGCAGUGUCGAGCAAGUGGUUCUGGAUCUGGGCAAGCAACUUUCCACUAUCAACUCAGUGUUACAAGCCUUGGUCAAAGCACCAGUUCAGGGAAAUCCUACGGAUAUUCCUUCAAGCUCCCAACAGAGGCCUAGAUCACCAACAGUGUCGCAGGAGCAGUUGCAAAACCAAACACUCAGAACAGAGCAAUUAAAACAGCAAUUGGAAGCAGAAAAAGAGAAAACAAGACAGAUGGAAGAAUUACAACUCCACAAUCUUCCUCCAGUCAGAAUUAACAAACCAGCAGUUCCUCCUAGAUAUGAACAACAGGCAGAACAGAGCAGGCAAGUCCUCUUGGUACUCCACUCAGAACACAUCAGCCUUACACUCCUGCAUUCCAGCAGUACAACCUCCAAAACAGGGAUAGGCAGUUAUGGCAAGGAUAUGCAAAAAUAUAUAAACAAGACAUGCAAUGUCAAUUCAUGA